UCCAACCUCUUUCUCUUUCUCUCUUCACCCACGCGACCACCAUUUCCUUCUCCUAUUGCGCCUGCGAUGCCGCCGCCGCCGCUGCACGCCUGCCGUCGCCGUGCCGGCCAAUACUGGCCGCAACCGCCACACAAUGAGCAAGCCACGCGGGGACGGAGCACGCCAUGCCCACUUCCCCGACCACGGCCUCGCGAUGGACACGCCGCGGCGGCCGCGCCCUCUUCGCCGAACCCUAGCUUCUCCCCGAGCGGGGCGGCGGCGGCAGGUAGAGGGAGAAGGCGACCUUCGCGGCCGACCGAUGUUCGAGCGGUUGCUGGAGGACCACGUGCUCCACCGCCUCCUCCACCACCUACAUGCAAAGCUCGAGGACCACUACGCCACCGCGCACCGCCGCGCUCGGGCUCCGCCUCAUGGGGCGCGGGAUGCGGGCUUCAUGCUCUUCGGCCAGGAGCUCGCGGCCGUGCUGCUCGGCUGCGCACUCUUCUUCCUGUUCCCCACCUCCGGCCGCCGCGAGGCCUUUUGAGACAUUGUUCACGGCCCUGAAUUACAACUCGAGGCAAAUCCAGGAGCACGAUGUGAGGUUCCUUUUGAGCGGAAGCCUGUCCCCGUUAGCAUUACCUUUCCUGACAUUGAUGUUUGGAAGAAAUCUAUAGCGUCUGUUUGCCCCAUUCCGGAUAAGUGACUUCAUAUUUUCCAUUGUAGCCCUCUUGCACGGUUCUUCUAGAAUUAAAGUUGAGUCAAUAUGUGUUCGUCAAAUCAAAGCUGAACUUGUUAAUUAGCAAUGUUUCAUUCCAGAUGCCUACUGUCACUUGUACGAAUUCCAAACUGUGUAAAGAUGCGCAGAAUGAGUUAGUACGGGCUUGUUGAUGAAUUAGAGAUUCACCAUUUAUUUUUGUUAAGUAUCUGUCAUGUGUAUACCAUCCUAUAGGUACACUAUUAUCUUAAUAUGAAAGAAUAAUCUUAGACACAGAGAUUUGUUAGUAUUUUUCUACUUAGUGCUAUAUUGCUUACGGUCAAGUAAGUCCAUACAUAUAUGGGGAAUUUAUUAUCUAUUUAUUGAUAUGGCAAUGAACGAUUGGAUUGGUUUAUCAACUCUAUUCAUCCCUGGCUCCUCACGUAGGACUCUUAUCUGUAUUGUUAGGCACAACUAGAUAUAUAGUACAGUGUCAUGUUUCUGACUUGUAUCAAAGUGUAAGAUAAACAUGAAUAAAUUGGUAGUGCUCUGUUAGGAUGUUGAGCACAAUUUGGCAUGUACAUCUCAUGAACCUGGCAGCAUAUUAUUGAAUUAAUUAGGGUCCCAGUUGCCGAGGUUGCAUAUAUUGGAAUUUGGAACAUGGUGACAUGAGAUAUUUCAGAAUCACUAGCAUAACGGGCAAACGCAAUGUCUAAUCAUGUUUGAGUUUGAUGUAGAAGUGUUCAACUUUUAAGAGUUGAUUUGGCCACUAAAAGGAAACUGCACUUCAACUUUACGGACAAAUAUGCAAUAUUUCUGUUUUUAAAGGAUCGAUGUAAAUAGUUUUUGCUCUUUGAAAAAUAAUACACAACACAUAUUCUUCAUAUGUAUUCUGUAUUUAUCAUUGUUUUCGUUUGUACUAAUAAGGCUGUCUUUAUUGGUGUCCUGCAGUUAUUGACUUGCAGCUUACAGAACCAGAAUUGGACAACAUAAAUGGAGAAAUGUGAGAAAGGAGCUGUGGGAAGACCCUAGAGAUGUGAAGUGAAAGAAGAGGAACAUUAGUAAAUCUCAAGGCAGAGCUAGCAAGGCAGCGGCAGCGGAGGCGCGGCGUUCUCUCAGGGAGGUGGUGGCGGAGGCGGCUCGUUCUCUCAGGGCGGUGGUGGCGGUGGUGCGACGUUCUCUCAGGGCGGAGCUGGCGGAGGCGCGGCGUUCUCUCAGCGAGGUGGAGGCGCAGGCGCAGCGUUCUCUCAGGGCGGUGGUGGCGGAGGCGCGGCGUUCUCCCAGGGCGGUGGCAGCUUGUCGCUCUUGCAUUCGCAGUCGCAGAUCUCCCAGGCCUCCCUCGACGAGAACCUCCUCAGCCCUCGCCAUCCUCCCCCGCGCGCGAUCAGACUUUGAAGAGGAGUACUACGAAGAAGAGGAGUACGACGCCGAAGACGUGAACUAGGUCGCUCUCCCAGUCAGCCGCCUGUAGGGUAAAGGCCUGACGUGGGUUCCACCGCUGUUUGAAGUCAAAUAAAUUCCGCUGCUGUUUGUUGAACUUCGGCCUUGAUGGCCUAUGAUGUAAGACUUCCGUAUUAAUGUUACUUCGGUACUGUAAUGGAUGAUGUAAUCUGGUAUCAGUUCGGUUAUGUAUUCACGAUGGAAUGAUCUUGGGAUCGUGAAAUUGUACGCAUAACAAGAGUUCUGGACUGGUAAGUCCGGGGCCCCACAGAGCUGGUAUCAGAGCCAUCCUGACUGUAGGAGACCUUAGUUAGCAUGGACGUUAGUUAGGAAACAAGUAUUUUGGGAAAACCUAUUUACACAACAAAUUCUUUCUUUGGUAGACGAAAGAAUAUCUUCUAAUUUUAUUAUCCCUUCAAAACUUCUAUUUCUUACCUCGCUCUAUGAUUUCCAAAGAUCUUGAAAGAUUUUAUUCUACUAUCUCACCCUCUUCCAAACAAACAUAAUGGACGAUAUCCCCAACUCAGACUCGGAGACUCGAAGUCGAAGAUGGAUCAACCCUUCAGGAAGUUUCAAGUAUCUCCGACUGCAACUGUUGAAGAUUGGCUACCGACUUCGUAGUAAGUGUAUAGGGAUAAUAAGAUCAUGUCUCUGGUUGUCACCAAAGUAUGUCAAGGAGUUGACCUUGUUCCUCUUUGGACUUGCACUUUUGCAGUCAUCAAGGACCAAGUCCUCAGUUCUUGACUAGUAAUUUUUAGGCCCGUCACAAGAAGCUGUCAUCUAUGGAGCUCUUCAGAAAAUAACCUUCCAAAGGCCUCACAUCCCUAGGAUGUUGAGACCAGAAGUCCUAUGCAGUUUUCGCCUCCGCCUCAACAUCGACGACUCAACAUCAGGUCUACUUCACCACCAACUGCUACAAGAAUCAAUGUUGAAGUCAAUAUCAGCAAAAUGAAGACAUCAGCAUCUCUGACCAACCCAAGCCUAUAGGAUUGAUAGGAUAAACUCAAUUGUCUUGAUUGAGCUACCCCUGCGUAUUAGGUAUCCUUAGGUACUUGAAAUACCUCGUGUGGUUUUCAUGAUUUCUUGUGUUUUUCUAAAUUUGCUGCUUGAGUGCUUGUGAUUCCUUGUUGUGUGUAUGCUUGCUCUAGUCUUUCGGCCUGAAAAACUUUUUUUUGUGUUUGUUAACCCAGUCUAGGAAACCCCCCUAAGCUAUUUUUCUUCGCAUCCGCUCGAGUUUCUGGUAGGGAUUUCAACUAUAGUUGGCGAAGUAAAUGGAAAACCCUAACUCUAACUUGGGUAACCGCCAGAUGCAACCCUGUUUUCCCGAAAUGCCAACUCCAACACUUUAUUCAACUCAAGACAAUUUGUGAUGCCCACGAAGCAGAAGUCGGUGCCUUCAAGAUCGACUGCAACCCCACGAGAAGAUGAAGCCAUACUAAUUUUGUCUAACCGUAGAGCAUAAUCAUGUUAACCUUGAGGUUAUCUUCUUAAAACCUCAACCUAACUCACCUUCUAACAAGCUAAGUGAGUUGUACCACCGAAGCCAAGUUACUCUGCAAGGUCCAAGUGAAGCCUUUGAAGACAAUUCAAGACUCGAGAUUUGGUGUACUUUAGUGAACACCAACCCUAAAGCUGAAGACUGUUUCGACGACUGUUGUUGCUGCUUCAUGUGAAGAUCCACCAGAUGUUCUGCUGACUUACUAACUUAACGAGCGCCUUAUGGAACAAUAAACGCCGUGCGUGCCUCUUGCAGCUGAGGACUGCAUUUCGCCCCUGAAGAUUCUUCAACUCAAGACUGGAGAUCGACGACUUCUUCAAAAGCACCCGACAAGGCCCCUUGACUGAAGCUCUGAGUUUUCCUGAACCCUCGUUGAACAAUCUUAAGGGUGGAAGCUUUUAAAGCUAACUCUAAAAGCUUUCGACCUUUCUAAAAAAAAGCACCGUUUGGAUGCUUUAACCAUCCAAGAGUCAUGGACCCCUCGAAGGUUGAAGCUACAGAUCUAACACCAGCAUAGAGAAGUGAACCUCUUCACGAAACCGUCCCUCGGCAGAAAUCCAUUGUGCCUCUCAGAAGCUGAAGCAGUGGUCUUCCGACAACGACACGUCUACCAGAGGAUGGAGUCUAACUUAAAGUAACCUAUAAAGCCUCUAUAGUCCUACACCUAGUAAUCUCGAGACGAGAUUAUUUUAAGGGUGGAAGGUCUGUAACACCCCAACUUUUGCAACCAUGUUUAUGUGUCCAGAGUGCAAAAAUCAGGGGGAACAAAAACUUUUUAUGUUCUGCAUGCACUGAUUUGUUUUUGAUUGGGAAUGACUGUCUGACUUUGUUUGAUGAGUGGUGUUUGCUAAAUAGUGUUAAGUGGAAUAUUUCAACCCAUAACUCCAAGUCUCAAGAAAAACACUCAUGCUAUGGCCACUCUUGUAUUACCUCCUCCUCUCUUCUAAGGUAUUUGAACUUUUUGACAAAAUACAAAACCUGUUUUGUUAUGCUCUAUGACUCUAAAUUUUGAUCCAACAUAUUUUUGCCAAGAACCUUUUCUUUUAAAAUUGGCUAAGGUCACCUCUGAUCUUAGUAUAAAAAAGAGGUUUCUAAAAUUAUUUUUGAUACAAAGUAAUUGCCAAAAGGUUUACCUUACUUUGGGUGACAUUAAAAUUUACAAAAGCUUUUAUAUGCAGAUUUUGGUAUCCUAAAAAAAUGGAAUGAUCUAUAUUUUAUUCUACUUUAACUAUGGGUCAUUCUACUCCCUCUAAAACCCUCUCUCUUUUCGAAUCUUUUCAAAAUAAGAUUUCAUAUCUAGUUUAAUAAAUCUAAUAAAGGCCAUAGACAAUAAAGCUAAAUUUUAGGACUAAUUGAUCCAUAAUCAAUUAUCCAUGGCAAUGUAUUUGCCACUAAUACAUGUCAUUGAUAUAUCAUAUCAUCACUCCAUCUAUGUUUGAUCUUGGUAACAGAUCGUUUGUUCAACAAAUGAUUAAUCCCCAUUGGCAUCUUUAUCUCUCCAAGAUCAUCCAACUCUACUCAAGAAUCAUUCUUGGCCUAACCAUAUCAUGUCCUAAUCACCUUCUCUAUAUCAUCUUGUCUUGAUCCCACUCUUAGAACAUUGCCCUUAAAGUAAACCCAAUGCCCUAUGGCCACAAAUCAAGCUUUUCAAAAAAUGGAGUUUCCCUCCCAAUUUCCCCCCAACAUAUAUCCCAAAAAAAACCUUUCUUCUUCCUUUUAAUUACAAAACCGAUUCUAAUUUUAUAAAAUCUUUCCAAAAUCUUUUCCCCAUUAAAACUAGGAAAUGGGACUGAUAUGUUAUCACCUCAUUUUAUUUUCUAAAUUUUUUUAUUCUCUUUAUUUCUUUUUGUUUUAAUAAAAAAAUGGCAUGGUUCUGGUGCUUAUGCCUAUCAUGUUAUUUUUCGUGCUUAUUUCAAAUUUAAGAAAAACCCAUUUGCUUAGUUAGGCCAUUUGAAUGCUUUCAAACUCAAAAUUAUUAUCUAAUUACUCUCAAAUUUUUCUCUAUCUACUUCAAAUGAGUUUCUCCAAAUUUGCCAUGGGUAUAGAGAGUGAUCCAAACAAAUUAGAAGUGAAUUCAAAUUUGAAUGACAAACCCGUGACCUCAAAUACACCUCCUUCAUCCAUUUCCCAUCGUCAUCUCCUUGGCCAAACAAAAAUGUGUUCAAGUGCCAACUUAAUCAACGCACUUGCUAAUUACCUAUUUUUUUUCCAUCUCUUUUUCCUUAAUUUCCUUCUAGUCUCCACCACAACCUCCAAUUUAGAUAAUCAUCAUCAGCACCAUCUAUCUAAUCUACUUUCUAUGCCACCUAAGCAAUGCAAAUGGGAGAAGUGGCCGGCCAUGGUGAUCUUGCCAUGCAUCCUCCCUUGUCCCUCUUCCCUCUCUUUGGCCAAGCAAAUCACCACCCAUGCACAUGCAACUCUCUCUUAACCCACGCACCAGCAACCACCAGCCAUGCCGCAUGCUACAGUACUCGUUUUGGCAUGCACAAGAAAAGGUGGCCGGCCAAGCAAGGCAUCCAUGCACCGUACCUCUCUUCAUCUCUUUCUCUCUCUCUCUCUCAUUCUCUUUAUUUCCGAACCAACACCAAAACCACUCCGUUGAUUCUCCAACACCAGCACCUUGUCCUCGGCGACCUGUUUUGCCUCAACACCACCCCCUUGUCUUCAUGUGCUUGGCAAGAUUGGAGAGCCGGUGAUGCCAAAUCUUGGCAAGGCCAUGCCAAGAUUCUCACUCUCUCUAAUCUCGCUCCACCAGUGAGCCGCACCGAACCCUGCCUCCCUCCUGGACCCCUACCCCCUUGCUGUCCCCCUAGCCAGCACUAGUCGAGUCUCUCUCUCUUGCCAUGCACACGGGUGGCAUGCCCAAUUUCUUGAACAAGACCCUCUGGCCGAGCCAAGGCGCCGCCAGACUCGUUUCACCGUGGCUAGUCAUAGCCACGCACGCUUCCAUGCUUGUCUUCUUCCUGCUGGACGCGAACGACCCCGCUCUGGAUGCCGACCCUUCGUCGAACAGCUGGUGGGCGUGUGUUCGGUGUCGUCCCACCGAGCUGACCGACCUCCUCUUGCCCUGUCCUCUCGCCUUCGCUACCGCCUCAGUCCCGUGACCAUCCUGGCACAGCACCAUGUCCUCUCCUUGUCACUAUACCCCCGGACACGCUCGCCGCCCACGGCAGCCAAGCCUCAAGCUCCACGUAGCAGCAGCGCACGGCCUCGCCCUUGAAAACGCGAGCUCGAGUCUCCUUUCCUCUCGCACCGCUCCAUACCACUCCCCCAGGUAUCCCUUGUCCUCCAGAACAACCACAAAGGGCCACGCCCUUGUUGCCCUUCUUCCUCGCCGAGUUGGCCGGAAGCUCGUCCGUCCGCGCCACGUCGUGGAUGCCGUUUCUGCCGCCCCUCUCCGGCCUUCUCUCUGCUCUCUCUUUCUGUGUGUCCCUCUCUACCCCUCUUGACGCACAUCAACACCUUUUCUUGUCAGGACCUCAACUGGGACGUCAUGAGCACCAAGUCCGAUCGAGGCGAGGCGGUUCACCUCGUCCUCACCAACGCCGGUAGUCUGCAUGCGCAUGUUGUUCGGACGAGGAGAGUCGCCGACCGCCGCUACGCAGUCCUUCGACGCGAAUUCGCCUCCAGGUCCCCGGUGAGCUCGCCCUAUGCUCUGUGUCGUUACGGUUACUCGCGUCGCGUCGUCGUUCCCAGUCGCUCGACGCAGCCACGACUGCCGUGCAUCUCCGCUCUUGCUCUCCGUUCCUAUCGUCUCUGUGAUGUACCUACGACCUAAACACCGCCCUUUUCUUGCCAGGAAUCCACCAGGUCGAUCGUCGCUGUCGUUGAGCUCCGUCGUGCUGCCCCGACGCGGAGCCCGGCCUCGUCCGCGUCGCUGUGGAGCUCGCCUCCAACCUCGAUCUCCCCGUGCCGUUGCGGUGAGCCCCCGACCUCUCCUUGUCGCUCGCUCACGGUGGCGCUGCUGGUUUCUCGAGCGGCCGGUGAGCGCCCUGCCAUCAUCCCCAUCCACCUCCGUCGCAUGCACUGCAGCCUCGCGCGCGCUCGACGGCACCAAGACGAAUCUCCGCGUCCGUGUCGUCGCCUGGAGGUUGUGCCCGCCGCCACCUUGUUUCUCUCCCUCUCUCUGUUCCCCUCAUUACUCUCCAUCGGACCUCACCGGCCCAUUCUCCUUGCUCAGGUCACACCAGCUGGCGGCCGUCAUCGAAGCUAUGUCCGUGCCGCUCUGUCCCGGCGCCGCGCACGCUGCUGUCGGCGACGACGUCUCCAUCACGUCUGAGACGCUCAGAUGGGCCAGCCUAGUCCACCUCGCCAUCCUCUCACAGUCCCAGUCGAGCGUCGGCCGUCGCAGCUAGCUGAUAACAGCCGUUGGAUCAAGAUCCUAGGGCCGCUUACCUCUUCGUCUUGUCCGACGCAAGUGGGCAGGCCAAGGUCGGUGCAGCCCAAGUAUUUUAGAUCUCAGCCAGAAAAGGUUUUUAACUUAUAAAUCUGCUAAAUAAACAUGGCAGAUCUGGGUUCGAAAUAAAUCCACCUUAUAUUCUGUGAUUCAGAAAAUUUUCGGAUUCAAAUUUUGUACUGUAUCCUAAGUAAAUUCCUACCACCUAGAGCAAGUCUCAUAUCCUGAUCCAGUACGAAAACCUCACAGUAAUAAAAACCUUGAAAGCUUGCAGUGGCAGUACCAAUCCAAUAUAAAACGUUUUAGACCACUUUUUCGAGCAAACUAAAUUUUGGUGGAGGCCUCUCUGUUUUUUUUUUACAUUUUGGCAUAUGUGGUGAUGCUCGUACUUGUUUAUUUCUUCAAGUGCAUCAUUUAGCAAAAUCUGUCCCAGUUUGACUCUGAUAUGUUACUGUGAGAAUAUAAUAUAUUAUUUUGGAGUGAAACCAAUUUUAUAAGAGCCAAUGCACCUUUUUGUCCAACUUAUCCAGAGCACAAAUGUUUACAAGUAUAUGUGAAUAUCCGAGGUUUUAAUGUCCAUAACAGAGGUUAAAAGCAGUAAAAGAGUUGUUAAAAUAUUUUAUAACUCCAAAAGUUAGUAAAUCCAAUUUUAGUGAUUUUUUUUUUAGCUAUCCAUUGGUGUGAACCUUGUUUGCAUAAGUGUUAUAUUGUUCCGUGAGCAAAAUAAGCAAGUUCAGUGGCUUUUGAACUCUUAAAAUUUAUUUAAAAUAAUUUGUUUUACUUUCGGGCACAAAACCACUUUUGGUGUUUAUAAUUGUUGUUAGCUACCAGUACAUAUAUGGUUUACUACUUGAUGUGGAACAUACAUGUUUUAACUAUUAAUUAGGUUCUAUUUGCUUAUCUAAUAAGGAUAAAAUGGCCUUUUCUUCGAAAUAAAAAUAUUUGCCUUAUGCACUAGGUACUGCAGGUUUAUUUUAUAGACAAAUUAGUCUCUGCUUGUGAUGAUUGUGUACUGAUGCUUGAUAGUGUGUUUUGUUUGAGUAUGGAUAGCUUGUGUGGUUGAUUGUUGCCUUUUUCUUUGCGA